AAGCCAGUUGCAGGAUGUUCAUUCAUUCAAGGCAGCCAGAAACCACAGUAGUGGGACUUGAGGGAUCAAAAUCGUAGCAGGUUUGCUGUGUUUUUGCCUCAUUCUCUCGGAUUUAUUUUUAUAGACACGGUUUACUAUUGCGUUCAAAAAAUAUUUAUUUUUUUUAAAUUAAUAUUUUUUUAUAUUUUUAAAUUAUUUUGAUGUUUUAAUAUUAAAAAAAAUUAAAAAAAAUUAAAAAAAAUUAUUUUAAUAUAUAUAUUUUUUAAAAAAACACUUUAAACAACUAUCAAAACCAGAUUCUCCCACCUAAAUCUGUCUGCUGCGGUCUAAAAAUACUGUGUCCAAACGGAUUCGCUAGCUCCGACCGCUUGCGAUCCAGCUUGAGCCACAUGCUGCAACAUCCUCGCGAAACAUAAGACUUGAACCAGAUGUUGGAUCUCCGGUCCAACGCUUAGUUUAAACCAUGCUACUGAAUUAUCCAUCCAUGUUCUUUGCUUGUAUUAGAAACACAGAAAAUAAUUGGAGAGAGUCGGUUUUGACCAUUUGUUCUUGCCUUUUACCUUCUGGUUUUCCUUUGUUUAGUGGGAGCUUGUUAUUUCUAUGCUCUUAUCAAUUAGAAAUUAGGGGAUGCUUUGUUUCUCUUCACUCCAUAAACCAGAUAUGAAGAACAGAAGAAUUGCGCAAAUAAAAUAACCCACAAAACUCAUAGAAGGAGAUUCUCAUAAGAAUAUAAACCUUGACAACUAGUUUUGUUCUAUAACUUUCUGUCAUACCAGUUCUUGUCAUCACCAACUCAGAAAUCUGAUGAUACCCAAUUCAUUAUUCCAUUCUGCAAAUAGAGAAAUCAGUUUAUCCUGUGCCAAACUUGCAUCAUGAACAACUUUCAUUAACAAUAAAACCACAGAAAUACAGUGCUUCCAUAAACAUAAUUCUAUGUUUUUUUUUUCUUUGCGCAGUGCUUUAAACCUCACAGUUACUAGAGCCUCCGCAAAGAUCUAAGAAACUAUACAUAGCAAGGAAAAGAAGCAAGAGCAGAAAAUAUGAUCCCAGAUAACAUUAGAGAAGCUAAUGUCAAAAAUGGCACCCACAACAAAGAUAAAAGAAGCACAGGGUAAUAACCAAGACAAUAGCCUCUAAAACAGACACGAGCUUGAAAAUCAAAUCAUCAAAAAAAGAAAGCUGUAUGUUAAGCCUUUUCCACUUAAAAGCAGAACCGAUAAACUUUAAUCUCCAUCCCCAUGAUUCCUUCAACUUUAACCUCCUAAAAAGCCAUAUUUUCCACUUCUUGCUGCUUUUGCUUCCCCUGCUGCUAUUUCCACUCCUUCCUAUAUCCCCUUCCAUUCAAAUUCUCUAUCUCUAAAAGGGUUUCUGGCGUUCUCUCUGUAAUAUGUGAUCUGUUGAGAGAGAGAGGAAUGGGAGUGCUGGUUAUAUUGGAGAGGGAGAUCAAGUUCGUUUUUUUAUUAAUGAAAACCUAACGGGGAGAAGUAGGGCUGUUCUUAUUAUUUUUUUUAUGGGGCCUGUUGAGGGUAUUUUGAUAAUUACAUAUAAUGAGGACUAGCUGACACGCGUUUGAUUGAUUUUUAUGUCAAAAAGUCAAAAAUUAUGUUCGAGGCGCCUUUUUUAAGGAAGGUGCUGUGAAAUGCUGGAAGAGUGGAUUCUAUUAGUGGUGUGGUUCAUAGAUGG
rnacentral:lncRNA from 1 species